rnacentral:lncRNA from 1 species
CAUCCCAAACAGGUCCGAGUUUUCCCGAAACAUGACCAGCAGCUUCAGCCUUUCUCAACACCAAAUCUCCAACUCUGAAUCUUCGUGGCCUCACCCUUCUAUUGAAAUACUUAGCUGUUUUAUCUUGGUAAGAGGCUAAUCUUAAGGUUGCCUAGUUACGAACUUCUUCUAAGAGGUCAAGAUGAUCAGUGGUGUGCCCUGCUUCUUCGAGAUUAAGUCUUCUAUGGUUGGGUAAUCUUAUUUCAAUGGGAAUUGUAGCUUCGAUUCCAAAAGCUAACAUGAAGGGAGUCUCCCCGGUAGCAGUCCUGUGGGAUGUUCUAUAUGUCCAUAGUAUGGAAGACAAUUUGUCGGACCAAGAACCUCUUGCAUCUCUUAUCCUUGUUCGGAGGUCUUGCAAUACGAUCCAAUUGGUGACCUCGGCUAGGCUAUUACUUUAGGGAUGAGAAAUUGACGUCAGGCGAUGGUCAACCCCUAGGUUGGAACAGAAAUCCUUGAAUUGUAUAUUGUCAAACUGCCAGCCAUUAUUAGUUAUGAGAACCUUUGGUAUCCUGAACCUGCAUAUGAUGGACUUCUAAACAAAAGUUCUUAUCUUAGGCUCUUAGAUCGUUGCCAGGGGCUCGGCCUCAACCCACUUUAUAAAGUACUCCACUGCUACAAUUACAAACUUCAAUUAUCCUCUAGUUAUUGGAAAUGGGCCGAGGAUAUCGAUCCCCCAUUGCUCAAACGGGGCUGAGCAACAAAUGUUGGUAAGGUCCUCUGCGGGAGAACGGAUAACGUUGCCAAACCUCUGGCACUUAUCACAUUUCUUCACAUAUUCCACGACAUCAUUCUUCAUGGUAGACCAGUAAUACCCAUACCUUAAGAGUUUGAAGGCUAAUGCCCGAGCUCCUUGAUAGUUCCCGCAUACCCCUUCAUGAACUUCCUCUAGGGUUUGGGAGGAUUCCGAAGGCUUAAGGCACCUAAGGUACGGAAGUGUGAGGCUUUUGCGAAACAAGACCCCAUCAAUAAUGCGAUAUCUUGGAGCUUUUGACCAGACUCUCCUUGAUGCUCGAGGGUCUUCUGGAAGAUUUCCAUUUGUUAUAAAGUCCACAAUUGGGUCCAUCCAUGAUGGCUUGUGAUCAAUGUCCAUGACCCCAACAGUUGAAUUGAUGCUAGGCUUAGUCACAAAUUUGACAUGUACUGUUCUGUCAAGUCCAUCUAUUCCCAUGAAUACCAGCCUUGAUAAGGCAUCUGCCUUGCAGUUGUCAGCUCGGGCAAUCUUCACAAUUUC